UGGGGAAUAUUGGACAAUGGGGGGAACCCUGAUCCAGCCAUGCCGCGUGUGUGAAGAAGGCCUUAUGGUUGUAAAGCACUUUAAGCGAGGAGGAGGGUACUGGUAUUAAUACUACCAGGUACUGGACGUUACUCGCAGAAUAAGCACCGGCCAACUCUGUGCCAGCAGCCGCGGUAAUACAGAGGGUGCGAGCGUUAAUCGGAUUUACUGGGCGUAAAGCGUACGUAGGCGGCUAUUUAAGUCGGAUGUGAAAUCCCCGAGCUUAACUUGGGAAUUGCAUUCGAUACUGGUUAGCUAGAGUGUAGGAGAGGAUGGUAGAAUUCCAGGUGUAGCGGUGAAAUGCGUAGAGAUCUGAAGGAAUACCGAUGGAGAAGGCAGCCAUCUGGCCUGACACUGACGCUGAGGUACGAAGGCAUGGGGAGCAAACAGG
rnacentral:rRNA from 1 species